CACGGGGGGAGCAAGCGUUGUUCGGAAUCACUGGGCGUAAAGGGCGUGUAGGCGGUUGCGUAAGUGGAAUGUGAAAUCCCCCGGCUUACCCGGGGACCUGCAUCCCAAACUGCGCGACUUGAGUAUGGGAGAGGAUGAGGGAAUUCCUGGUGUAGCGGUGAAAUGCGUAGAUAUCAGGAGGAACACCGGUGGCGAAGGCGCUCAUCUGGCCCAAUACUGACGCUGAGGCGCGAAAGCUAGGGUAGCGAAC
rnacentral:rRNA from 1 species